CCUACGGGAGGCAGCAGUGAGGAAUAUUGGUCAAUGGGCGGAAGCCUGAACCAGCCAAGUCGCGUGAGGGAUGAAGGCCCUGCGGAUCGUAAACCUCUUUUGCCGGGGAGCAAAGGUCCGGACGUGUCCGGGACGGGAGAGUACACGGAGAAAAAGCAUCGGCAAACUCCGGGCCAGCGGCAGCGGUAAUACGGAGGAUGGGAGGUUUAUCGGGAUUUAUGGGGUUAAAAGGGCGCGUGGGCGUGCAUUUAGGCCGGCGGUAAAGCGUCGGGGCUCAACCCCGGACUGCCGUUGAGACUGGGUGCCUUGAGUGGGCGAGAGGUAUGCGGAAUGCGUGGUGUAGCGGUGAAAUGCAUAGAUAUCACGAAGAACCCCGAUUGCGAAGGCAGCUUACUAAACUGCCACUGACGUUGAUGCUCGAAAGUGUGGGUAUCAAACAGGAUUAGAUACCCGUGUAGUC
rnacentral:rRNA from 1 species